rnacentral:rRNA from 1 species
GUAGAACGCUGGCGGCAUGCUUUACACAUGCAAGUCGAACGGUAACAGGCCGCAAGGUGCUGACGAGUGGCGAACGGGUGAGUAAUGCAUCGGAACGUGCCCAGUCGUGGGGGAUAACGCAGCGAAAGCUGUGCUAAUACCGCAUACGAUCUAUGGAUGAAAGCGGGGGACCGUAAGGCCUCGCGCGAUUGGAGCGGCCGAUGUCAGAUUAGGUAGUUGGUAGGGUUAAGGCUCACCAAGCCAACGAUCUGUACCUGGUCUGAGUGGACGACCAGCCACACUGGGACGGAGACACGGCCCAGACUCCUACGGGAGGCAGCGGUGGGGAAUGUUGGACAAGGGGCGCAAGCCUAAUCCAGCAAUGCCGCGUGAAGGAAGAGGGCCUUCGGGUUGUAAACUGCUUUUGUACGGAACGAAAAGGUUUGGGUUAAUACCCUGGGCCGAUGACGGUACCGUAAGAGUAAGCACCGGCUAACUACGUGCCAGCAGCCGCCGUAA